rnacentral:lncRNA from 1 species
UACUUGGAGGUAGUUCCGGGAAACUCUCAAGCCUACUACAACCAACUAAUGCAAGGGCUUUAAGUCGAGUGAGACCACUUAUGCUUUCAGCUGGAAUAUUGGAAAAGUUGUUACAAUCGAGAUUCAAUUCCUUCAAAGACUGUAAUAAUCCAAGAUCACAUAAAAUGCCUCCGUCUGAAAUGUUACAGUCACUAACAUCCAGCGUGAUCAAUGAAGAAAGACCCGACAAAUUCUGAAAAUUUACACCCAGAGACGUCUGGACAUGGCUUGAGCUACUUACUCGUGAACCCAAAGCAUUACAUCCACGGAGAGAUAAGCACUUAAGGUUUUUUAGAAGUGAAAUAGAGGAUGGAAUUGUUCGGAUGGCGGUGUGAGAGCAGUGGAGCUCCUCCAAAUCAACUAAAUGUCCCAAGUCAUUUGGUAAAUUUUUAAGUUUUGAGCAUCCGGACACAUCAAGUGUUUUCAGACACUUCAACCUAAGAAUACUGCUAGGAAGACUCUCAAUUCGCUUGCAGCAGCUUAGACUUAUGACACUAACUCCGGACAGGUUCUCAAUUGAUGAAGGCAGUUCACUCAAAGCAGUCGCUCCUAAAUACAGUUCUGUUAAGCGAUGCAUUUUCCCUUCUAUUUCUGGGAAAUUUUUUAGCUUUGAGCAACCCGAAAGAAUGAGAAUUUCAAGCUUUUCUAGUCGAAAACUCUUUGGUAGGGUCUUUAAAUUUCUGCAGUUCUUCAGGUUCAGCAAGACUAGCUUUCCAAGAUCUCCAACAGAAAAUUUGAAUUCUACCAAACUUGAGCACUCUUCAAGAACCAGUCUUUCAAGAUUAGGGGUACCUGAAAAAUCUGGCGUCCUUAUUAGCUUCUGCGAAUGGCCAAGGUUAAGGUACUUCAGAUUUCCUAGAAUCUGUCACAAAGACCAAAGUAGAAAGACUCUAGGUUAGUAAAUUGAAUAAACAGCUAUAUUUAAAUCGAUCCAACCAACCAGUAGGAAAAAACUAUAGCAGAUACAACAAACCUUGGAAGUUUUCCAAAGUUGUAUGAUGCGGCUAUAUUUCAAUUUCAAACUAACAAGUUGUUUUCCCUGAAAGCUAAUUGGCAGACUUUUGGAAGGAUAUCCGUGCCAAUCAAGCCACCUUAGCUCAUCAGGAAGAAAAUCAGGGCCCUGGCAAACAUAGGCAUUCCGGAACUUGAGAAACCUUAGCCUGGCCAUCUGCACGAAAGCCGUGUGACUAAUAUUCACUUGUUCUUCAUUAGUCAGGUGCAAUGAUAUGCCUUCAAUCUUUUCAGUGCCCUAACAAGCAAAAACAUUAAUGGUUGAUGAGAGAAGGAAAAUAAUAUAAGUCAUAUGAUCGUGACUACAUACCAAAUUUCUUUCAAGUACAGGAGAAAUAUCUUCGCAAUUCCACAACCUACUAUAUAUUCUUGGAUCGUAAGAAGCUUCUCGACGAACAAUGUGCCAGCCCAUUUCUUGUAUCAAUUGGUGCAUUAUAAUGCGACCGUUUAGUAUAGUGAUCAAAGAUUUCUCCAUGAGAACUUUUAUACCAAUGACAGGGCUAAAAUGAAAACUCUCAAGUAUUCUGAUCACUGAAUCUUUCUUUUUCCCUGAAAAGAAGCACGCAAUGUCUAAGAAUAUCUUUUGCUCAAUAUUGUUGAGACCAGUGAAACUUGGUUCGAGUUUCUUCAAAAUUUCAUUUUCUGGGAUUUGUAUCAAACGCUCCACUUCACUUGUCCAUUCUGCCAAACCUCUUCCAUACAAGAAACUGCCCAGAACUUUAAGAGCUAAGGGGAGUCCACCAGUAUGCUUUAUCACUUGAGCUGACAGAUCAGCAAAUUCCUUGGUGGGGUGGUUCUUCUUGAAAGCAUGUUGUUUAAACAGUUGAAAACUUUCGUCGUAAUUUAAAGUUCUCAGUCUGUAUAUCUUUUCAACCUCGUACUUAACAAGCAAGUGUUUGUCCUUGGUUGUUAUGAUGACUCUACUUCCGGGACCAAACCAUUCACGUUCCCUGGCUAAAGCGUCUAACUGAUCCAUGUGAUCAACAUCAUCAAGAACAAGAAGAAUCUUUUUGUACCGUAGUCUUAGUUUUUGCAUAUUGGCCCCUUCAAACGAAUCGUUGAUCCUUAGUUUUUUUACAACAAGGAUUUCAGAAAGAAGUAUCUCUUGCAAGCUCUCUAGGCCAUGUUUUGAUGAACGGUCCCUGACUUCAUGAAGAAAACAUGCACCUUCAAAUUCACUCCGAAUAUUCUCAUAAAUAACUCUCGCUAGAGUCGUCUUCCCCACUCCGCUCAUUCCCAAUAUUCCAAGGAAGCGAACUCCACCAGACUCGACACCAAGCAUUUUAUAUACUUUGUUCAUGUGUGACUCCAUUCCGACAAGAUUUUCAGCAUUGCUUGCAUCUCUCUGCCCACCCAAUCUAGCCAUUAUAUCUGUCACAAUUUUCUUUAUGACUCUAGCUUCAUGUCUACAUACCACAAAAGUCAAACAUAUGUUUAUUGGAUAGUAGAAACAAAUUAAGUAUUUAGAGUAACUUAUUAACAUAUCACGAUGAGUCUGGCUUUAAACAAAGAUAAUAUACUUACGCAUCGGCAGUAUUUGGCAAAUCCCAGCCAGAUAAAUUAGCUGCUUCCUCCAGGGCUGCCCUCCAUUUUUGCACCUUGAAACGAUCUUCAUGUUUGCCAAAUGCUUCUCCAUAGCUGUGCUUUUGUUUCCUCACCGUUGAUGGAUCAACAUCGUAGAAUACCGGAAGGACAAUUUGUCCUUUUUGUUUGUUGCAUUCCAUGAUCUUCGUUAAUUCAUCUAAACACCAUGUCGAAUUUGCAUAGUUUUUGGAGAACACGAUCAGCGCAAUCCUUGAUUCUUCGAUCGCUCUCACAAGGUCCGGUGAAAUGGACUUGCCUCUCUCAAGUUUCUCGUCAUCUUUGAAGGAGUUGAUUCCCUUCAGUUGCAGAGCAAUGUACAGAUGGUCAACAAAUGUUUUGCGUACAUCUUCACCUCUAAAACUUAAGAAAACAUCAUAACUCCAUUGAAUAAUUUCUGGGGAUGGAAGGAAUGAGCUUUUCUGAUUCAUUUUUUGUGGCUGAAAAAGUAAAUUAUCAAACCAAAACUUUGCAACUGCAAGGCAAUAAAACAAGAUGCUAGAAAGGAAAUUAGUACUAAAUCAACCAAUCAAUCCAUCACAAUGAAAGUAGACCUAAACAGUAGCUUGUAUUAAUUUAUAUAUGCAGGUGAUGACUUAGACCCCACUAUGUGGGAACAAAUACAACGUUAGAGAAGGCGACAUCAUUAUUUGACAUUAGAGCAACUCUUCUUCCACGAAAAUAUAUGGUAAAAGUUUAGAAAGUCUGUGGUCAUGACCCAAUAAAAGAAGUAGACAUUGUCGUCGAAAACCAUCUACAAAUGAAUCUGUUAAGUAACUUCACAUUCAUAUAUAUAUAUAUAUAUAUAUAUAUAUUUCAAGUUUCCAUUGAUGGAUACCUACUCUGUAAUAUUUUAAGUUUCCACUGAUAAGGAUUUGCAAUAUUAUUCAAUUUGAUAUCACUAACUCUGUAGUUGAUAGGUACGUACCUACUAUGUAAUAUGAUUUUCCGUUGACAAAAUGAAAUUUAGUGGAGUUGUAAGAGUGCGUCAUUGACAACUUAUAUAAAUGAAUAAAUGAAAGUAGUAGUUUGUUUUCUGAGAAGAGUGAAAGUUCAUAUACAAAGAUACUCAAUAGACAUACAUUUAUAAAUAGAGAAUAUGAAGGCCAUACACCUCAAUUCAAAUAGAAUUUAUGUCAGUAGAAUAUGUUUAAUGAAAAAUUUGUGCAUUUUCCUUUACAUAUUCAAUAAAUCUUUAACUGAUUUGAAUACAAUAAUUUGGUUUAAUACAAUUUUCAUAGAGCUAUAAAUCCUUGACGACAUUAGUGGAUGAGACCUCAUCAUUACAUAUGGGACAAACCUGUAAAGAAAAAUAUAGAAAAGUAUGAACAUCAAUAAAAUAUAUAUAGGCAAAAAAAUGUAAAUGAGAGAACUUAAUUAGCAAUUAAAUUACCUUCUUUAUUUGAAGCCAUUUUUUAAUACAAUUUGAAUGGUAAGAAUGAUCACAUGGAAGUGCUACUAGCUUCUCUCCUUCUUCAUAUUCCAAUUGACACACCACACACCUAUAUAUUCAUCCAAAAAUAUUCACUUUCUAUUAUAAAUUAUUCAGUCUAAACACCAUUUUGGUACGAAGCGCUUUCCUUUAAAUGGUUGUAUGACGAGUUCAAAUCUUAAUAAUCGCGUCUUAAAGGACAACUCGAUGCACUCAAGCUCGCACUAUACACGGGGUCGAGGAAAUUUAUAAUUUUCAUACUACUUACUUGUCAAUAAGAGUCUUGGAAUUAUUGGAUUGAAAUGUAGAAGAAUGCAAGGAUUUGCUAAUUUCUGAUUCAGAUAAGCCUCUGGUCUCUACUCCAACAAAUUCUCCUAAAGCAAUUAAUUCCUGUAACAAUAUUUAUUUUCUUUAGUAAAUAUCAUGUACUAUACAUAAAUUAAAAAUAACCAUAUUUUAUAUACCUCGUAGGAUAAUUCAUCUGGAUCAACAUCAUCUUCCUCCAUAUCCUAUAUAAGGAAAAAAUAUUCACAGUUAUGAUAAUUAACUUUAUAGUAUAGUCUCUAUAUGUAUCUGUAUAGUAUUCGUAUAAUCAAGUAUAUGGAUAUACACAAAUUCUACUGUGUGUAUGUGUGCUAGAAAGAGACCUCGUCGUCGUACUCAUCUUCGUAGAACUCUAAUUCAAAAUUAUCUGCGCACACAAAAAAAAAAAAAAAUAUUUUCAAAUUUUCGAAUAAUUUAUCCAAAUGAUUUUGAAAAAAUUAAGGGUAAAUUAAUUAAUUACCUUGAACCUCACUAUCUAGAAAUUCUUCAUCAGAGGCAGUAAUUUCCUCAUCUUCACUUUCACUUUCAAUCAUAGAUAACAUAAUAUGUACCCUAUCCUGAAAAAUCACACAUUCAUUCCCAUGCAAAUUAUUAAUUCUAUCAACAAACAAUUAUAAUCUCAUGCAAUUUAAUAUCAAGCAAUUAAUUAGAAAACAAGUCAUUUUCAACAAAAGAUAAAUCUUUUUACGUAUAUAUGUACAUAUGUUAAAUUUUCUUGAAACGUAUAAAUUAUCUUUUCAUUCCUAGUAGUAAAAAAUUUGACUCUGUCACGACAUACAACAAUAUUUAAAUUUUAAAGACAAGAUUAUAGUACCUCAUCUAUUUGACUAAGAGGUGUUCUUCUGGUGGUUGGCUUCCUUUGUUCUUCAUCAGCCAUAAUUAAUGACUAAAUUAUUAUUAAUUAAUAGUAUAUCUUUGAGAUAAUUUAUGGAAUUUUGGAUAGCCAAACAAUGACUUCAAUAGGGUGUUAUAAUGAGAAAUGUGGAGGAAUUUGUAGGCUAACUUAAGUAUUAAGAAACUUUCAUGCAAAGCAAAGAAAAAAAAUCCAAAAGCAUCCAAAAGCAUUUCCAUUCAAUUAAUUUUCUAAGAUUCCAAUAUUCUUUAAUUCUUGUUUUCAAGUUUGUCUUUGUGUGCUACUACUUCAUAUCAAUUUAGAAUCCAAAUAUCUUGGUGGGAUUAAUAACCAUUUUUUAUCCAACGAUCCUCACAUUAGAAUUGACUCAGUUCGACUUGUCUUGAUUGCCUGGGGAAGAACGGCUAUUCUAUCUAAUAUGGAAUAUGCUAAAUAAUGAAUCAUAUAUACCAACUCGUCCAACUUUUACCCAAUUUUAAUAUUAUAUUUUUGUCUUCCUUAGUAUACUUAUGUCUUAAGAUAUAAUUUAUCUUCAUUAAAUAUUUAUUCCAUUGAUGUACCGUCACUCUAAAUGUAUAACUAAGAAUAAUUUGAAACUAUUUAAUAUACCACGAUAGAUCAUCGGAGACAUAGUGAGAGAUCGCUAUUAAUGUUUUUAUUUUUAUUGUACAAAAUAUUUUUGGAUUGGGUGCUGUACAUUUUCUUGUUUAAUUAUAGUCACGAGAAAUAAUUAAGACCAGAAACAAAAAAGAGUAAUUAAUUAAAUACAUAAUAAGCAGUCCUUGAAAUUGAUGCAUGUUUGGUCAGUAAAGUCAGGUCCCCUCUCUUGAAAAGAUAUAGUAUUUGUACUCUAUAAUAUAGAUAUCCUCCAGCAUUUACAACUUCUAUUAAGUAGCAUUUAGGGAAAAGAGUUAGAAAUAUAUCUAAAUUUUGGCAAAAUUUAUUGUAACAUGCUUUAAUUUUAUGAGGGUUCUAUGACCCCUCUUAACUAUUUAUUAUCGUAUUUUUGUGGCAUAUAUUUGUCCAGAUGGAUCACUGCUUGCUAAGCGCGUGAGGGUAUGCUGUGAUCCAGUUGAACAAAUAUAUGUCAUAAAUACACAAUAAUAAAUAGUCGAGGGGAUCAUAAGAGCCCUGAGGCGUGUUACAGCAAAUUUCGUCAAAGCUUAGAUAUAUAUUUCUGACUUUUUUCCCUAGCAUUUACUAUAAUAUUGAUCUAGUUAACUGUAAAAUGAUAUGUUACAUCCAGAUUAAUUCGAAUUCGUGUCGAAAAAUCUUAUUUUAAGAAAAAAGACGUCUUGUACUAAUUAAAGAUAAUUAGAGACUCGGAACUCAAAUUUUGGACCGCUAAUUAAAAUGAAGGAAUAGUUACAUGAAUUCCACCAUAUUCAUUAUUGGUGGAAACUAAAAUUGUUAACAUUAUUAUAAAUAAUUGCUCAACUUAAUGACCAAAGGCCUACAUAUUUAUUUAUGAUGGCUAAACAAGGAAAGAAAAUAAGAGAGAUAUUGCUUGUGCAAAUGUAGCAAAACUGCUAAGUGAACUUUUGGUACAAAAUAGUGAAGUGUGAGGUGAAAAGGGACAAGUACACAUGACAACAACUCAUUAUUUCAUGUUUAUUUGCUCACCUUCAUUAUGAAAACACAAAGGUCAAUAGUCCUACAUAUCUCCUAAGCUUCUUUAAAAAAAAAAAAAAAAAAAAAACUUCUUUAAUUUUUUUCCCUCCUUUGAUGAGUUGUAUCAAUUUAUGUGGUACAAUUUGAAUUUUGAGAGUCAAAUAAUUUAAUUUUGAUAAUGAAUUAGGACAUAAAAUUUUUAAAUUGUUUGAAAUAAAAUUUACAUAACUGGAAUGUAAGUAAAACUAUUAUACAUCACAAUAAUCAACAGUUCAAGAUAUUUUUAUAUGAAAUAUUAUGAUUAAAGAAAGAGUUGUUUGAAUCUCGAAAUUGAGACGGAGGAACUAUAUAUAUAUAUAUAUAUAGUACUAGUGCUUUACUACACAUUUAUGGCAUCUAUUUUUAUUUAUUUAACCUUUUGAAACCAAGUGGGAAAAAGGUAAAAAGGAGUUAGAGAGCAAAGAACAAACAUAAAUAUAUAUGCACCUACAAAAUGCAAAGACAUUUCCAAGUUCUUGAAGAUGGGUUGCAACAAUAAUCUUUUUUCAAUUUUUUUUCUUUGUGGUGUUGGAAUUUAGUCAAGCAAGACUAAAAGGAAUGUUCUUCAUGAUGAUGAAGGUUCAUGUAGAUUUUCAUUUUGGAAAAAACAACAGUUUUUUUAACUCCUCUCUAGGAACUUCCAUCCUCUUGCUACCUUGGAGACUUAAAGGUUGGAAGUGAGGGCUGCUUAUCGUUCAAGCAACUUCUUCUUGUAAAAAAAAAACUAGUAAUAGUUAAUGCCAAUGCAAAUGGCUUGUUUUUUCCCCCUUCCUACUCAUUUUUUCCCUUUAAUUAUUUGUUGUGUUAUUGAUUCUUGAUUUGUGGUUGGUGGUUGGUGGUUGGUGGUUGGUGGUUGGUGGUUGGCGGCUGGCGGCGGAAGACGGUGGUGAUAUUGGCGGGGAUGGCUCAAUCUUUCACUCACGGAUAAAUGUGAUUAUAUGCAGCAUUAUUAUAUUUCUUUAUGUCAUGAUUAUUCAGUGAUAUUCUCAUUCAAUUCAAAAAUUCAUUAGAAAAAAAAAUAUUCAAUAUUUUUCAAUUUCUGUGAAUAAAAUUUAAAUCAAUACGGAA